CAUCGCCUCUUGCAAAAGCAAAGAAUAAGAGGUCCCGCCUGCCCUGUGACUAUAUGUUUAACGGCCGCGGUAUUCUGACCGUGCGAAGGUAGCGUAAUCACUUGUCUUUUAAAUGGAGACCCGUAUGAAUGGCAUGACGAGGGCCUAACUGUCUCCUUUCUCAGGUCAAUGAAAUUGAUCUCCCCGUGCAGAAGCGGGGAUAGCACCAUAAGACGAGAAGACCCUAUGGAGCUUUAGACACAAGGCAGAUCAUGUUAAGUACCCCUGAAUAAAGGACUAAACCCCGUGAACCCUGCCCUAAUGUCUUUGGUUGGGGCGACCACGAGGAUAAAGAACCCACGUGCGGACCGGGGGUAUACCCCUAUCACCAAGAGCACCCGCUCUAAAGAUCAGAACUUCUGACCAGACAGAUCCGGCACAGCCGAUCAACGGACCGAGUUACCCUAGGGAUAACAGCGCAAUCCCCUUUUAGAGCCCAUAUCGACAAGGGGGUUUACGACCUCGAUGUUGGAUCAGGACAUCCUAAUGGUGCAGCCGCUAUUAAGGGUUCGUUUGUUCAA
rnacentral:rRNA from 1 species